AAACUUUCAACAACGGAUCUCUUGGUUCUGGCAACGAUGAAGAACGCAGCGAAAUGCGAUAAGUAAUGUGAAUUGCAGAAUUCAGUGAAUCAUCGAAUCUUUGAACGCACAUUGCGCCCCCUGGUAUUCCGGGGGGCACACCUGUUCGAGCGCCAUUUCU
rnacentral:rRNA from 1 species